rnacentral:rRNA from 1 species
GACGAACGCUGGCGGCGUGCUUAACACAUGCAAGUCGAGCGGUAAGGCCCUUUCGGGGGUACACGAGCGGCGAACGGGUGAGUAGCACGUGGGUGACCUGCCCUUAGCUCUGGGAUAAGCCUGGGAAACUGGGUCUAAUACCGGAUAUGACUCCAUGACGCAUGUUGUGGGGUGGAAAGCCUUGUGCGGCUAGGGAUGGGCCCGCGGCCUAUCAGCUUGUUGGUGGGGUGANGGCCUACCAAGGCGACGACGGGUAGCCGGCCUGAGAGGGCGACCGGCCACACUGGGACUGAGACACGGCCCAGACUCCUACGGGAGGCAGCAGUGGGGAAUCUUGCGCAAUGGGCGAAAGCCUGACGCAGCGACGCCGCGUGGGGAUGACGGCCU